GAGACUGAGAUUCUCUAGAAUUUUCCAUGAGCAACAAUUCUAAGUAAUGACAAAGGUGCUGCACACAGGGCCAUGCCCAACCAGCAGGCUCUCAGAGGACUCUUGAGGUGGAAAUGAAAACAGGGUCCCACUCUGUGGCCUAAGCUGGAGUGCAGUGGCAGUAUCAGGGCCCGCUACAUCCUUGACCUCCUGGGCUCAAACAAUCUCUCAUCUCAGCCUCCCAAGUAGCUGGCACUAUAGACAAAUCUCAUUGUGGUGAAUAGGAAUGAGGCCAACGGCAAGAUCUGGAGAUGGAAGAAGCUCCUGAAGAUGUUGAAACCCCUGGUCCCAGCUGUUCUGUGGGCCAGCUGGAUUCCUGCCCUUCUAUAGCUGUAUUGCUCAAUCCUUUCCUGGGAUCUGGGAGAAAAUAAAUUUCAUUUUUGGCCCAAGUUAGUUCAAGUUCAGAUUCUUUUCCCCCAUAACAGUAACAAAGAGUCC
rnacentral:lncRNA from 1 species